rnacentral:rRNA from 1 species
GGUUGCGAUCAUACCAGCACUAAUGCAUCGGAUCCCAUCAGAACUCCGCAGUUAAGCGUGCUUGGGCGAGAGUAGUACUAGGAUGGGUGACCCCCCUGGGAAGUCCUCGUGUUGCAACCC